UACGUAGGGUGCGAGCGUUAAUCGGAAUUACUGGGCGUAAAGCGUGCGUAGACGGUAGCGUAAGUCAGAUGUGAAAGCCCCGGGCUCAACCUGGGAACUGCAUUUGAGACUGCUCUGCUCGGGUGCGGAAGAGGGAAGCGGAAUUUCCGGUGUAGCGGUGAAAUGCGUAGAUAUUGGGAGGAACACCAGUGGCGAAGGCGGCUCACUGGACCGGUACUGACGCUGAUGCGCGAAAGCGUGGGGAGCAAACGGG
rnacentral:rRNA from 1 species